rnacentral:rRNA from 1 species
AUACGGAGGAUCCAAGCGUUAUCCGGAUUUAUUGGGUUUAAAGGGUGCGCAGGCGGAAGAUUAAGUCGGCGGUGAAAUUUUGCAGCUCAACUGUAAAAGUGCCAUCGAUACUGGUUUUCUUGAGUGUGGAUGAAGUAGGCGGAAUUUGUGGUGUAGCGGUGAAAUGCAUAGAUAUCACGAGGAACUCCGAUUGCGUAGGCAGCUGACCAGACCGCAAAUGACGCUCAUGCACGAAAGUGCGGGGAUCGAACAGGAUUAGGUACCCUGGUAGUCCGCACAGUAAACGAUGAAUACUUGUUUUCGGCGAUAUAAUGUCGGAGGCAAAGCGAAAGCGAUAAGUAUUCCACCUGGGGAGUACGCCGGCAACGGUGAAACUCAAAUGAAUUGACGGGG